rnacentral:rRNA from 1 species
AGAGUUUGAUCCUGGCUCAGGAUGAACGCUAGCUACAGGCUUAACACAUGCAGGUCGAGGGGAAACGACAUCGAAAGCUUGCUUUUGAUGGGCGUCGACCGGCGCACGGGUGAGUAACGCGUAUCCAACCUGCCCACCACUUGGGGAUAACCUUGCGAAAGUAAGACUAAUACCCAAUGACGUCUCUAGAAGGCAUCUGAAAGGGAUUAAAGAUUUAUCGGUGAUGGAUGGGGAUGCGUCUGAUUAGCUUGUUGGCGGGGUAACGGCCACCAAGGCUACGAUCAGUAGGGGUUCUGAGAGGAAGGUCCCCCACAUUGGAACUGAGACACGGUCCAAACUCCUACGGGAGGCCA